CCUACGGGAGGCAGCAGUGAGGAAUAUUGGUCAAUGGGCUUACGCCUGAACCAGCCAAGUCGCGUGAGGGAAGACUGCCCUAUGGGUUGUAAACCUCUUUUGUCAGGGAGCAACGCCGGCUAAGUGUAGCCGGACGGAGAGUACCUGAAGUAAAAGCAUCGGCAAACUACGUGCCAGCAGCCGCGGUAAUACGUAGGAUGCGAGCGGUAUCCUGAUUUAUUGGGUUUAAAGGGUGCGUAGGCGGAAUGCCAAGUCAGCGGUAAAUGCGCGGGGCUCAACCUCGCUCCGCCGUUGAUACUGGCGUUCUUGAGUGGGCGAGAAGUAUGCGGAAUGCGUGGUGUAGCGGUGAAAUGCAUAGAGAUCACGCAGAACUCCGAUUGCGAAGGCAGCAUACCGGCGCCCAACUGACGCUGAAGCACGAAAGCGUGGGUAUCGAACAGGAUUAGAUACCCGAGUAGUC
rnacentral:rRNA from 1 species